UUGUUAUAAAUAAUAGUAUUAAAAUAAUUAGAAUAAAUUAAAAAAAAAAAAUUAAUUUUUUUUCAUUUUUCAAUGGAUAAUUUUUUUUUCUUUUGUCAAAUAAUAUUUAAGUGUUACAUGUAAAAAAGAAAAAAAAAAUUAGUUUUACAACGUUCACAUCGUAAAAAUUGUAAAAAGUGAAAUAAUAUAUGUAAAAUAGUAUAUGUAAAAAGAAUAAUAUAUGCAAAAAAAAAAAAAAAAAAAAGAUAGUAAAAUAAUAGUUUACAUUAUUGACAUCAUUUACCGUAAGAUAUAAAGCAUGUGUAUAUAUAUAUAUAUAUAAUAUGCAACAUUUUAAACGUGUUAAAUGCAAAUGUAAUAAAAAAAAAAAUAUUCCAUUUGAACCAUUGAGUGGUUGUUACAACUGAUAAUACUCGUCCAUUAACACAUAACUGAACAAAAAAAAAAAAUAAAAAAAAAAAAAAAGAAAUCUCUAUACACAAUAUACAGUUUAAAAAUAACAAAACAACGUUUGGUUUAUAUUUAUAUAAUAUGGUUGAAUGUAAUAACACCCACAUUAGCAGCAAAAAUAAUUAUAAGUACGAUUCUUCUAAUAUAAACAUGUCUAAUCAUCCAGCAGGUAUUUCUUAUCAAGGAAAUCAUAAUCAUAAUAAUGGCUUUUGCAAUAACGAAAACAACAACUAUGAAAAAUACCAAUUGACACUAAGUAGUGACAAGGAUAACAUACAGUCUCCCAAAUCAAAUUAUAGUACAGAUUCUCCGGUGAAAUAUAGUAACGAAACAUAUGAAGAGCGAACAAAAUAUAAUAAAAAAAAAAGUACUUUUUACGAUCAUGGUACAACACAUAAUAUUUUUCCAUUUAAUACUUCGACAUAUCAUAAUAAUAAAACAAAUUUUAAUAAAAGUAAUGAUACCCCUAUAAGUAACACGAAGUUAUCUGAUGAAUACAAAAAUAAUACGAAUAACAUAAAUAUGUAUAAAAACGAUGAUACAAUAAUUGAUAUAUCACAUGAUAACAAAAAGGGGACAACCAAUUAUUACUCAAGCUGUAGUGAUAGUGGUAAUAACGACUAUAGUAAAGAUAGUAACAAUAUCUACAACACGUUGCCUAAAAAUUGUGAACAAACGAACUGUUACAAACAGUAUAACGCUGAUGACAACUAUCAAACUAGUUCGCAACUUCAUAUCCAAAACUAUGGCGAUAAUUGUGAAAAUAAAGCUUUAGCUGAAAAUAUUAUGAGUUUAAAAGAAGAAAGAAUAAAUGCUACUACUAAUGUAAGUGUCGACAGUACUGAUACAAUUGAUAUAUAUAAUACUACAAAAUAUAAUAAAGAAGAAGGUAAUGAUUUAAAUAAAGAUGUGCAUUGCAAAAUAGAGGACCGAAGUGACAACUUUUAUGUUAAUAGGGUUAAAGAUCUGAGCCAUACUAAAAUUUUUAAUGAAACCAAUAGUUAUGAAUCUAAAAGAUAUAAUUCUAAAAAAAAUACAACUAACAAUGAAUUUGUUCCUAAAUACAAACAACUUUCUUCGAAAGAGGCGCUUUAUAAUAAUUUGAUAGGAAAUGAUAAUAUAACAGUUUUAGCAGCUAAUAAAAUAAAAUUAGAUUUAAGUAAAUUACAACAAAAAGAUGUUGGCGCAUUACCCGAUGUGUAUCCUUUCCAUUUAUCAGCAGAAAAUAACAAAAAUAAUAAUAAUAAUACUAGUAGUAGUAAUAUUACUAAUAAUUCUAAGAAUAUACGGUUAGAAAAAUUAUACCCAACCAAUUAUAAUUAUAUUAAUAAUUAUAAUACAAAUAAUGCUGAUAUAACUGUGGAGGAAAGAAGAAAUUAUAUGAACUCUAG
ensembl:lncRNA